ACGAAGGGGGCUAGCGUUGCUCGGAAUUACUGGGCGUAAAGGGCGCGUAGGCGGAUCGUUAAGUCAGAGGUGAAAUCCCGGAGCUCAACUUCGGAAUUGCCUUUGAUACUGGCGAUCUUGAGUGUGAGAGAGGUAUGUGGAACUCCGAGUGUAGAGGUGAAAUUCGUAGAUAUUCGGAAGAACACCAGUGGCGAAGGCGACAUACUGGCUCAUUACUGACGCUGAGGCGCGAAAGCGUGGGGAGCAAACAGGA
rnacentral:rRNA from 1 species